rnacentral:misc_RNA from 1 species
GGAAAACAGAAUGCAUUAAAGAUAAAUCAGAAUCAAGGAAAAAGGGAGGGACAGUACUCCACUCUUGAAGAUCAGACUAAGAACUAAUUGUCAAGGCCAAAAAAUGGGCUACAGGCUACAAAGUUCGCUGACCUGCGAACGAAAGAAACUAUGCAAGAACUAAACUCAUUUAGAGUAGAAAUACAAUCUGCUAUUAUAGACCCAAAAUAGGAGAGGUUCGGUUGAUUCGCUUGGAAAGCUCUUACCAACAAGAGGUAGUCUCAGUCUGAUUUAAAGGCCACACUAUGAUCCCAAGGAACUUGAUCCAACUAAAAGCCUCUCCGAAGGAGAGAGCUUCGACUACUUUCGGAUAAGGGGGACUAAAAAUCUCAAUCUGACAAGCUUUGACAAGAUGGCCAUAAUCAUUACGGAGAGCCCACGCCAAUCCUAUUAUUAAGAGGACGAGGGAAGGUAUCGAUGCUGCACUCAAGAAACCCCUUGACGGUUUUCUGCCAUUUCGAUUGAUCAAUAAUCAGAAGUGAGGAAGGAGGGCCAGAAACUAAUUGCUGGGCACAAACUGUCAGCUAGCCACUAAUUAAGUGUGAAGCAGAGAUCGAGAUUUGUUGAGCAUUGCCAUUGACUCCCUUCUAGAGCACUUGGUUCCUAUUUCAAAGGAGACCAAAGAACACAAGCCAAUUGGCGAUCUUGGAGACCAGAAGAAUGGAAAACGAUAAGAAUCCACACUGAAAAGCUUGAGAACUUGAGGCCAGUUGGCUCGCCAGUAAUCAUUAGCUAUAGGACACGAGUAAAACAUGCUCAACAGUCUCAUCCGAUUUUGAGCAGAUUGGGUACACACUAACCAAAUCAAUGUGUUUGCUAAUUAACAGCAUAUGGGUAGGCACACACCCAGCACACACUCUCCAAACUAGAUUCUGCACUUUAGGGGGGAAUGAGAGUGGACCAAAAAUUUUUCCAGAAACCACCACCUGAGCUGGGAUCACAAAUGAUGAAGGUGAGGACGUGCUUCGAUAAGCCCAUUUAACAAAAUACAAACCAUUAGGCUUGAGCAUCCAAAACCAAACAUCUUCCCUAUUAUGAUUGCAUAAUGGAAGUUUCUCGACUAAAGCUACAUCUAGCUAGUUAAUGAGAUAUCUGAUGAUAUCCCAAUUCCAAUUCAAACCAGAUUACGAAAUCAAAUCACUCACCCUGAAAUUAACCCCGGGUUUUAAGAAUCUGGGAUCCACGGGUCCCGCCAGAAAAAGAUAAGAGUAUCCCAAACCUACACGUCUUCGGCAACCGCUAUGAAUGAUUGGGAAUGCAGCCAUCAAACUUCGCCCGAUUUAGCUAGGAUUAUGCCUUAGAUUAGCUUGCAGAUCUUAAUUAGAGAAAUAUCUAGCUUUAUAGAUACGAGCAACUACGGAAGAAGGAUUUGCCAAAAUCCGCCAUACCUAUUUGCCCAACAUAGAGAUGUUAAAAUCAUGGACUCUCCGAAAAUUCGAGCCCCAAAAUCCUUAUGAUGGCAGAUAUGGUCCCACCGCAUCCAACAGAUUCCUCUCCCACCCCAAGGACUUUCUCCCCCACCAGAAGGCAUUCAUGAGCCUUUCAAUUUCAAGACAAUUCCCUGGGAAGUUAAAAAAAAAGGAUCACAAUAUAUGUAGGAAUUGAUUGCAUAACCGACUUGAGAAAUCUUCUUUGCCUACUCUAGAGAGGAGACGACGCUUCCAGCUAUGGAGACGAUGCCAAACUCUUUCCUCAAUGAACUGGAAGAUUUCCCUCCUGCUUUUGCCAACACAGGAUGGGAGACCAAGAUAUAGGCCUAAAUUAUGAGAACCAUUCACCUGAAGCAUGCUUGAGAAUCUUUGCUUAAUAACCCCUCAAGUAUGACAACUAGAAGCUAUAGAAGAUUUUUGAAGAUCAAUGACUGGCCCCAAAUCUUGCUCGUAUUUGAUGAGGCAAUCUCGAAUGUGAGUGCAUUCACUCAAGAGGACUUUGAAGAAAAGGAGGUUGUCAUCAGUGAAGAAGAGGUGCGAUAUUAGCAGAGCACCUGUAGCCACCUUGCAUCUAUACAUCCAACCUCGACAUUCCUUCUGUCUGAGGAGCACCGAGAUACCCUCUGAGCAGAUAAUGAACAGGCAGGAAGAUGGGGCACCGCCUUGUCACAGACCUCUUUACUGUGAUGGACAAUUCAGUAGCUAACUGUAGAAACACACAUGAAAACCUUGAUUAAAAACCAAACAUUCUAACAUUUUUGUAAGAUACAUCCAAUCCAGCCGAUCGGAAGCCUCAUUCAUGUCGAUCUUGAGAGCCGCUCAACCAUCUUUACCUUGUCUCUUGCAGUUCAUGAAAUGAAUAACCUCAUGCAUCACCAUGAUAUUAUCUGUUAUAAGGCACCCAGGAGAAAAGGCGCUUUGGGACUCCGAGAUUAUAACAAAUAUAUAUAUAUACUUAUUAUUCCGAUCAGGCGCUUAAAGCUUCUAUGCUUGAAUAAAUUAAGGUUUAUUAUAGAAGAAAAUAAAAAACAAACUAAAUAAUAAAAGACAUUGUCUACUAAUAGGAAAUUGGUUCCACUUUAAGCAAUUUAUGAGCACCCCCUAAAGUCUCGGAGUUUGAGUCUUAUGACUAACCAUAGCUGGGAAUUAAGGGUCUCUUUAGAUGUGUGUGGAUUUCUUUGGGUGUGGAAGCCUAUUAGCCUUCAUUCUAUUUUA